ensembl:snoRNA F07A11.15 ncRNA
CGUCGCGCCCUCCCAAAACAACAGCGCCACGCAGAGGCCGCAGGCACGACUUAUAGUGCAUUCUCUCCGGCGCCUCGAACAUCGCUGCCGCCGUGUAUCGUUUCACUAGAGACACAGACAGUAAGAGAGAUAGAAAUGAAAAGCGCGAGCGCCCCCAGGCGCCUUCAAGUACACAAACCACAUAGAGGCGAGAUGUUGCGAACAACGUUCUCUCGUCCCUCUCGGCGCCUCCAGCUCCCUUCCUCCCCCCACUUCUCCACUUUCUCUGCCC